UUUGUUGAAGUUUUUAAGGGCACAGGGUGGAUGCCUUGGCACUAGGAGCCGAAGAAGGACGUGGUAGCCUGCGAUAAGCCUCGGGGAGCUGGCAAACGAGCUGUGAUCCGAGGGUUUCCGAAUGGGGGAACCCCGCACGAGUCAUGUCGUGUGACCCGCACCUGAAUAUAUAGGGUGUGUGGAGGGAACGUCGGGAAGUGAAACAUCUCAGUACCGACAGGAAGAGAUAUUCCGUGAGUAGUGGCGAGCGAAAGCGGAUGAGGCCAAACCGGGCGCGUGUUCAAGCUGUCAGGCGUUGCGUGUUCGGGGUUGUGGGACCCUUCUGGUGGAUCUGACAGUCCGCCGGGGAGUAAGAAAGCCGUGUCAUAGUCGAACCGCAUUGAAAGGCGGACCACAGACGGUGCGAGUCCGGUAGACGAAAUGGUGCGGCCUCCCGAAGGGGAUCCCAAGUAGCACGGGGCCCGAGAAAUCCCGUGUGAAUCCGGCAAGACCACUUGCUAAGCCUAAAUACUACCUAGUGACCGAUAGCGGACCAGUACCGUGAGGGAAAGGUGAAAAGUACCCCGGGAGGGGAGUGAAAUAGUACCUGAAACCGUGUGCCUACAAUCCGUUGGAGCCUCCUUGGCUGGGGUGACAGCGUGCCUUUUGAAGAAUGAGCCUGCGAGUUAGUGCUCAGUGGCGAGGUUAACCCGUGUGGGGAAGCCGUAGCGAAAGCGAGUCCGAACAGGGCGCCCAUAGUCGCUGGGUCUAGACCCGAAGCGAAGUGAUCUAGCCAUGGGCAGGUUGAAGCGCGGGUAAGACCGCGUGGAGGACCGAACCCACCAGGGUUGAAAACCUGGGGGAUGACCUGUGGUUAGGGGUGAAAGGCCAAUCAAACUUCGUGAUAGCUGGUUCUCCCCGAAAUGCAUUUAGGUGCAGCGUCACGUGUUUCUUGCCGGAGGUAGAGCUACUGGAUGGCCGAUGGGCCCUACAAGGUUACUGACGUCAGCCAAACUCCGAAUGCCGGUAAGUGGAAGCGUGGCAGUGAGACUGCGGGGGAUAAGCUCCGUAGUCGAGAGGGAAACAGCCCAGACCACCGGCUAAGGCCCCUAAGCGUGUGCUAAGUGGGAAAGGAUGUGGAGUUGCACAGACAACCAGGAGGUUGGCUUAGAAGCAGCCACCCUUGAAAGAGUGCGUAAUAGCUCACUGGUCAAGUGAUUCCGCGCCGACAAUGUAGCGGGGCUCAAGUACACCGCCGAAGCCGUGGCAUCUGCGCUCAACUCAGGCCUUCGUGGUCCAGAGGCGCAGGUGGGUAGGGGAGCGUCGUGUGGGCGGUGAAGCCGCGGGGGAACCCAGCGGUGGAGCCCACACGAGUGAGAAUGCAGGCAUGAGUAGCGAAAGACGGGUGAGAAACCCGUCCGCCGAAUGACCAAGGGUUCCAGGGCCAGGUUAAUCCGCCCUGGGUAAGUCGGGACCUAAGGCGAGGCCGACAGGCGUAGUCGAUGGACAAGGAGUUGAUAUUCUCCUACCGGCGAAGAACCGCCCAUACCGAGCCCGGUGAUGCUAACCGUCCAAACCUGCCCAUCGACCCUUCGGGGUCACCGGGCAGGGGCGCGCGGGACCCGAACCGGUAGUAGGUAAGCGUAUUAACAGGGGUGACGCAGGAAGGUAGCCCGGCGUGGCGAUGGUAGACCACGUCCAAGGCUGUAGGCCGUCGGGUAGGCAAAUCCGCCCGACAUGAAGG
rnacentral:rRNA from 1 species